AGAAGCGCAUACGGUGGAUGCCUUGGCAGUCAGAGGCGAUGAAAGACGUGGUAGCCUGCGAAAAGCUUCGGGGAGUCGGCAAACAGACUGUGAUCCGGAGAUGUCUGAAUGGGGGAACCCAGCCAUCAUAAGAUGGUUAUCUUGUACUGAAUACAUAGGUGCAAGAGGCGAACCAGGGGAACUGAAACAUCUAAGUACCCUGAGGAAAAGAAAUCAACCGAGAUUCCCUUAGUAGUGGCGAGCGAACGGGGACCAGCCCUUAAGUUGUAUUGAGAUUAGCGGAACGUUCUGGAAAGGACGGCCAUAGUGGGUGAUAGCCCUGUACGCGAAAAUCCCUUUGCAAUGAAAUCGAGUAGGACGGGGCACGAGAAACCUUGUCUGAAUAUGGGGGGACCAUCCUCCAAGGCUAAAUACUACUGACUGACCGAUAGUGAACCAGUACCGUGAGGGAAAGGCGAAAAGAACCGCGGAGAGCGGAGUGAAAUAGAUCCUGAAACCGUAUGCGUACAAGCAGUGGGAGCCCACUUUGUUGGGUGACUGCGUACCUUUUGUAUAAUGGGUCAGCGACUUAUUUUCAGUGGCGAGCUUAACCGAAUAGGGGAGGCGUAGCGAAAGCGAGUCUUAAUAGGGCGUCUAGUCGCUGGGAAUAGACCCGAAACCGGGCGAUCUAUCCAUGGGCAGGUUGAAGGUUGGGUAACACUAACUGGAGGACCGAACCGACUACCGUUGAAAAGUUAGCGGAUGACCUGUGGAUCGGAGUGAAAGGCUAAUCAAGCUCGGAGAUAGCUGGUUCUCCUCGAAAGCUAUUUAGGUAGCGCCUCAUGUAUCACUGUAGGGGGUAGAGCACUGUUUCGGCUAGGGGGUCAUCCCGACUUACCAAACCGAUGCAAACUCCGAAUACCUACAAGUGCCGAGCAUGGGAGACACACGGCGGGUGCUAACGUCCGUCGUGAAAAGGGAAACAACCCAGACCGUCAGCUAAGGUCCCAAAGUCAUGGUUAAGUGGGAAACGAUGUGGGAAGGCUUAGACAGCUAGGAGGUUGGCUUAGAAGCAGCCACCCUUUAAAGAAAGCGUAAUAGCUCACUAGUCGAGUCGGCCUGCGCGGAAGAUGUAACGGGGCUCAAACCAUGCACCGAAGCUACGGGUAUCAUCUUUUGAUGAUGCGGUAGAGGAGCGUUCUGUAAGCCUGUGAAGGUGAGUUGAGAAGCUUGCUGGAGGUAUCAGAAGUGCGAAUGCUGACAUGAGUAACGACAAUGGGUGUGAAAAACACCCACGCCGAAAGACCAAGGUUUCCUGCGCAACGUUAAUCGACGCAGGGUUAGUCGGCCCCUAAGGCGAGGCUGAAAAGCGUAGUCGAUGGAAAACAGGUUAAUAUUCCUGUACUUCUGGUUAUUGCGAUGGAGGGACGGAGAAGGCUAGGCCAGCCUGGCGUUGGUUGUCCAGGUUUAAGGUGGUAGGCUGAGAUCUUAGGUAAAUCCGGGAUUUCAAGGCCGAGAGCUGAUGACGAGUGUUCUUUAGAACACGAAGUGGUUGAUGCCAUGCUUCCAAGAAAAGCUUCUAAGCUUCAGGUAACCAGGAACCGUACCCCAAACCGACACAGGUGGUUGGGUAGAGAAUACCAAGGCGCUUGAGAGAACUCGGGUGAAGGAACUAGGCAAAAUGGCACCGUAACUUCGGGAGAAGGUGCGCCGGUGAGGGUGAAGCAUUUACUGCGUAAGCCCACGCCGGUCGAAGAUACCAGGCCGCUGCGACUGUUUAUUAAAAACACAGCACUCUGCAAACACGAAAGUGGACGUAUAGGGUGUGACGCCUGCCCGGUGCCGGAAGGUUAAUUGAUGGGGUUAGCGCAAGCGAAGCUCUUGAUCGAAGCCCCGGUAAACGGCGGCCGUAACUAUAACGGUCCUAAGGUAGCGAAAUUCCUUGUCGGGUAAGUUCCGACCUGCACGAAUGGCGUAACGAUGGCGGCGCUGUCUCCACCCGAGACUCAGUGAAAUUGAAAUCGCUGUGAAGAUGCAGUGUAUCCGCGGCUAGACGGAAAGACCCCGUGAACCUUUACUAUAGCUUUGCACUGGACUUUGAAUUUGCUUGUGUAGGAUAGGUGGGAGGCUUUGAAGCGUGGACGCCAGUCUGCGUGGAGCCAACCUUGAAAUACCACCCUGGCAACUUUGAGGUUCUAACUCAGGUCCGUUAUCCGGAUCGAGGACAGUGUAUGGUGGGUAGUUUGACUGGGGCGGUCUCCUCCUAAAGAGUAACGGAGGAGUACGAAGGUGCGCUCAGACCGGUCGGAAAUCGGUCGUAGAGUAUAAAGGCAAAAGCGCGCUUGACUGCGAGACAGACACGUCGAGCAGGUACGAAAGUAGGUCUUAGUGAUCCGGUGGUUCUGUAUGGAAGGGCCAUCGCUCAACGGAUAAAAGGUACUCCGGGGAUAACAGGCUGAUACCGCCCAAGAGUUCAUAUCGACGGCGGUGUUUGGCACCUCGAUGUCGGCUCAUCACAUCCUGGGGCUGAAGCCGGUCCCAAGGGUAUGGCUGUUCGCCAUUUAAAGUGGUACGCGAGCUGGGUUUAGAACGUCGUGAGACAGUUCGGUCCCUAUCUGCCGUGGACGUUUGAGAUUUGAGAGGGGCUGCUCCUAGUACGAGAGGACCGGAGUGGACGAACCUCUGGUGUUCCGGUUGUCACGCCAGUGGCAUUGCCGGGUAGCUAUGUUCGGAAAAGAUAACCGCUGAAAGCAUCUAAGCGGGAAACUUGCCUCAAGAUGAGAUCUCACUGGAACCUUGAGUUCCCUAAAGGGCCGUCGAAGACUACGACGUUGAUAGGUUGGGUGUGUAAGCGCUGUGAGGCGUUGAGCUAACCAAUACUAAUUGCCCGUGAGGCUUGACC
rnacentral:rRNA from 2 species